CAGUAGCCGCGGGAAUACGAAGGUCCCGAGCGUUGUUCGGAAUCACUGGGCGUAAAGGGAGCGUAGGCGGCGUGGUAAGUCAGAUGUGAAAUCCCGGGGCUCAACCCCGGAACUGCAUCCGAUACUGCCAUGCUAGAGGAUUGGAGAGGUAGCUGGAAUUCUUGGUGUAGCAGUGAAAUGCGUGGAGAUCAAGAGGAACACUCGUGGCGAAAGCGAGCUACUGGACAAUAACUGACGCUGAGGCUCGAAGGCCAGGGUAGCGAAAGGGAUUAGAUACCCCAGUAGUCCCUGUCUCUUAUAC
rnacentral:rRNA from 1 species